rnacentral:lncRNA from 1 species
AUUUUUUGACUGGCUGUAUUUUAUUUUUGACAGAUUCUCAGUUAAGGAGUGUGCUUCUGCUAGCAUGGUUUGCUGAGGCUUAUGGAACAACAAAAAUGUUGUGGUUUGGAAGAACAAGUUCUAAUCAGCCGAAGCAUUAAUGAAUGGUGUCACAAAUUUUCUCCAUCAAUGGUAGGACGCUAGGAGCAAGAAUGCAGCAAAAAUCAACUCUUCUGCCC